rnacentral:rRNA from 1 species
CAAGUCUUGACAUCCCUCUGAAUCCUCUAGAGAUAGAGGCGGCCUUCGGGACAGAGGUGACAGGUGGUGCAUGGUUGUCGUCAGCUCGUGUCGUGAGAUGUUGGGUUAAGUCCCGCAACGAGCGCAACCCUUGAUUUUAGUUGCCAGCAGGUAAGGCUGGGCACUCUAGAAUGACUGCCGGUGACAAACCGGAGGAAGGCGGGGAUGACGUCAAAUCAUCAUGCCCCUUAUGACUUGGGCUACACACGUACUACAAUGGCUGGUACAACGGGAAGCGAAGCCGCAAGGUGGAGCCAAUCCUAUAAAAGCCAGUCUCAGUUCGGAUUGCAGGCUGCAACUCGCCUGCAUGAAGUCGGAAUUGCUAGUAAUCGCGGAUCAACAUGCCGCGGUGAAUACGUUCCC